GACGAACGCUGGCGGCGUGCUUAACACAUGCAAGUCGAACGGAAAGGCCCCUUUGGGGGUACUCGAGUGGCGAACGGGUGCGUAACACGUGAGUAACCUGCCCUUGACUUCGGGAUAACUUCAGGAAACUGGGGCUAAUACCGGAUAGGAAUCCUUGCUGCAUGGUGGGGGUUGGAAAGCUUCGGCGGUUUUGGAUGGACUCGCGGCUUAUCAGCUUGUUGGUGGGGUAGUGGCUUACCAAGGCUUUGACGGGUAGCCGGCCUGAGAGGGCGACCGGCCACAUUGGGACUGAGAUACGGCCCAGACUCCUACGGGAGGCAGCAGUGGGGAAUAUUGCACAAUGGGCGGAAGCCUGAUGCAGCAACGCCGCGUGCGGGAUGACGGCCUUCGGGUUGUAAACCGCUUUCAGCAGGGGCGAAGCUUGCGGUGACGGUACCUGCAGAAGAAGCACCGGCUAACUACGUG
rnacentral:rRNA from 1 species